CCCUCUCCACUUCGAUUGACAGGACCAGGCAGUGAAAACGUCAUCACAUCUGGUCCUGUCAAUCAAAUUCGAGAGGUGGCAGUUUCAGAGAGAGCAGAGCCUCUAGGUGUAUUGGCAACGCCACCGUUGCUCCUAGAGGCUCAUUUGCAUAUAUUAAAACUUCCUUUUUCUCAACAAUGCAGGCACACAUGAACACGGGACCAACACAGAUGCCUUUAGUUGCCAA